rnacentral:rRNA from 1 species
UACAGAGGGUGCAAGCGUUGUUCGGAAUUAUUGGGCGUAAAGCGCGUGUAGGCGGCUUUGCAAGUCGGGUGUGAAAGCCCUCAGCUCAACUGAGGAAGUGCGCCCGAAACUGCAGAGCUUGAGUGCCGGAGAGGGUGGCGGAAUUCCCCAAGUAGAGGUGAAAUGCGUAGAUAUCGGGAGGAACAUCAGUGGCGAAGGCGGCUACCUGGCCCAAUACUGACGCUGAGAAGCGAAAGCGUGGGGAGCGAACAGG